rnacentral:rRNA from 1 species
UGGGGAAUAUUGGACAAUGGGGGGAACCCUGAUCCAGCCAUGCCGCGUGUGUGAAGAAGGCCUUAUGGUUGUAAAGCACUUUAAGCGAGGAGGAGGGUACUGGUAUUAAUACUACCAGGUACUGGACGUUACUCGCAGAAUAAGCACCGGCUAACUCUGUGCCAGCAGCCGCGGUAAUACAGAGGGUGCGAGCGUUAAUCGGAUUUACUGGGCGUAAAGCGUGCGUAGGCGGCUAAUUGAGUCGGAUGUGAAAUCCCCGAGCUUAACUUGGGAAUUGCAUUCGAUACUGGUUGGCUAGAGUGUGGGAGAGGAUGGUAGAAUUCCAGGUGUAGCGGUGAAAUGCGUAGAGAUCUGGAGGAAUACCGAUGGCGAAGGCAGCCAUCUGGCCUAACACUGACGCUGAGGUACGAAAGCAUGGGGAGCAAACAGG